rnacentral:rRNA from 1 species
AUACGGAGGGUGCGAGCGUUGUUCGGAAUUAUUGGGCGUAAAGCGCGUGUAGGCGGUCUUUAAGUCUGAUGUGAAAGCCCUGGGCUCAACCCGGGAAGUGCAUUGGAAACUGGGAGACUUGAAUACGGGAGAGGGUAGUGGAAUUCCUAGUGUAGGAGUGAAAUCCGUAGAUAUUAGGAGGAACACCGGUGGCGAAGGCGACUUUCUGGACUGACCCUGACGCUGAGGUGCGAAAGCGUGGGUAGC